UACAGAGGUCUCAACCGUUGUUCGGAUUCAUUGGGCGUAAAGGGUGCGUAGGCGGUCGCGCAAGUCGGAUGUGAAAUCUCAGGGCUCAACCUUGAAACUGCAUUCGAUACUGCGUGGCUAGAGUGCUGGAGAGGAGACUGGAAUUUACGGUGUAGCAGUGAAAUGCGUAGAUAUCGUAAGGAAGACCAGUGGCGAAGGCGAGUCUCUGGACAGUUCCUGACGCUGAGGCACGAAGGUCAGGGGAGCAAACGGG
rnacentral:rRNA from 1 species